GAAGCAUUACCGAUUCAUUAGGGGACAAAUGACUAGUGGGAUGAAUCUGGUGUCUAGUAAGAAACUACCAGUUUGGCAGGAAGAUAACACCUUCUUUUGUCCUUGAGUGGAUUCGGUAAUAAGCAGCAAUGUGUACAAAUGAAGAAAAUAAGCUGAAUCAAUAUAUUUGGGGAUUUUUUAAAAAGUAAAUAUUGUUAAUUUGAUAAGAUGAUUUACAAAAUCAAUAACAAAUAUGUCUUGUCAGGUCAUUGUGAGACAAAAAAAAUUGGCUGAUCUCAAUAAACUGUGUGUGUGUCUGAGACUUCACUAGAACUUACAUCACAUGAUCACAUUAAUCUCAAAGAUGAGAUAUAGGAUUUAAUGAAGAAAUGAUUUCAAGUCAAAAGUCAAAACUCAUGAGAGACAAGCAGAGACCAGUAAGAAACUUCUUUUGGAGAAACAACAGACCAGAUCUUUAUUCACAACUCAUGCUAGGAGGCCAGUCCUAGAAUUACCUUGUGUUGGAAAUCUUACCAAUAGUUUGAGUCGACAGAAUACUUAUUUUAGAAGAAAAAUUCAUGAUUUCUUCCUGAAGCCUACGACAUAAAAUAACAGUGCGAAGACCUACUUGUUCAAGAUUAGUUGUAUUAUCUUUCUUCCUUUGGUUUUCAGAUUUCUGAUGCAAUUCUUGUUUUUAAGUAGGUGAAAUACUGAGUUAAUUGACUCGUGUGUUAAAUAAUGGUCAACAUUACCUGUGUUAACAAAGAAAGAAAUCAGAAAUUUUACUAAAAGUCCCUGGAGCUCUCAUUUUUAUGAAAUACCUAUUUGUUAACUUCAUUCAAUAAACUUAAGUAACACAUUUUGAAUUGCUUUAAAAACUGCAUUUAAGUUACAUUUUAGAAAGUGAAUAUUAUUCCCUAGUAACUAAAUAUAUACUUUGAGAUGUUUUGGCUUACUUUCUGAUUGGUUUGAGUUUAACUGUUGUUCAUAACACUUUUCAUGUUUUCCUGUACCAUCUCAAGUUUUGUGCCCCUAAUCAGAAGUGAAUGUUUGACAUCCAAACAGUUAAUCACAUGUAGAUGUUCAUUAUUUAAAGUAAUCUAAAAUAAAUACGUUUAUGAAGUAAAUAAACGUGGAACACUUAAAGGAUUCAUUUUUGUUUUGUUUUUAAGUUAAAAGUCUUAUAAUUUUUUUACACAAGACUGGGUCUUUAAUUGCCAUUAUACCUACAUCACUUUUUUUCUCAGUUUUUGUAAACUCUCUGUUAUUGCUGUGCAAUUUUACAAUAGCUUGAAAAUAGCUAAAUCAUUCAACUCUUUAAAUUUUUAAAAUGAUGUUCACUUAUGUCUAUCACUUGAAUUACUGAUGACUAAUAUGGCAAUGAUAUUGAGUCUUUUAAUGGCAACUACAACCACACAUAAACCAUUACCUUCUUUCUACACAGAAUUCCAUAAAGCUGUGCAGGGUUCCCAUUUACCUUGAUGAUGUAGCAGACAUCUUACAAUCCAACCAGCUGAUUUUAUUCAUAGUGAGAAUCCAUUUCUGGAGAUCCCAAAAUGAUGCCAGCAAUGACAAGAUAUAUAAAUUAAAGCAUUGAUUAUGGAUAGAUAGAUAGAUAGAUACUCCAUUUUUUGACUGGGGGAGAAAUUUUAAAACUGUGUGCAGUCAUCCUAGCUACUUAGGAGGCUGAGUAGGCAAAAUAAUCACUUGAGCCCAAGAUUUACAGGCUGUAGUGUAUCAUAAUUACAGCUAUAAAUAGCCAAUGCCCUCCAGCCUGGGCAACUUAGUGAGUCCCUGUUGAGAAAAAAAACAAAAACAAAAUAAAUUAUUAAAAAACCCACAAUUUUUUGAACUAAAAUAAAUAGGUAGCAACUAGUUUUCAAUGUGUAUCUCUGUCACUGAAAUACCCAUUUCAAUCAAUGCACAUUGGCUUAUAGUUUUGAUGGUGAUUUCACAGUCUCUUUAAUGCAGAGAAAAGUAGUGUAUGCUUAUGUAAUGAAAUCUUUUUUCUUUACCUGGCUUCAUAUUCUAAAAAAUUCUAGAGGAGCAAAUCUAAACUUUCUCAGACAGCAUUGCUGCUAAAUAAAGGGGAACAAUUAAACGAUUGUUUUAAUACAUAAAUUAGAUGAUCCUAGCUAGCUGAGUUUUUAAUUAUUUUGAUAGCUUAGUUUUAUUUUUCUGAAAAAAGAGUGAUAUGAUCAGGGUCUAAGUGCUUCAGGGUCAUAAAACUGCACUUCUGGGUACAAAAAGAGGAAGCAUGUUAAAUACUACUGUGAAGUUUAAUCAUGAUGCACAUAUGAAAUUUUCUUUUUUUUCCAGAAUAAUCAGCUCAUGUAUAAUUUCACAAGAUAAUGAAAGCAUGUAUAAAUACAAAUGUAGUGCAAGCAAAGAUAUUUUCUCUUAGUUUUUAGGGGGCAAAGUGCUAUUUAUUUUUAGUAUUUCCAGAUAUGUUGAAAGACAGUUCAUCUUAAACUUCAUUAGUAGUUCCAAAGAGUGCAGGGUUCCUUUGUGGGCAAUUGGUUUGCCAAAUCAUGUUUGGCUUAAUAAUUCUAUGAAGAUUCAGUGACAUGUUUUCAUAACUUCUUUAGAAUGAGCUGAAAAAGUUCUUAUGUAAUUGUUUACAAAACUCUUAGAGAUACAGAAAGAAGGUGCCUACUAGAGUUGCUAAAAUUUAAUUAUUUCUACUAGGAAAACAUCUAAUAAUACUAUGAGAGUUGGUACAGAUUAUCUAAAAUAAUACAAAAGGGAGGUUUUUGGAGGGAGCAUUCCAAACAAGAAGAUAUUUAGACAUUUUUGGCUAUAAUUCUAGAAAGUAAAAUGUUAAAAUAUCUAAAUCUAACAUAAAAUAUGUUAAAAUCGCAUUGAUACUGAAUGUAUUUAUCUUCUUUAUUUACAAGGUUGUGAUAUUUUGGAAUAUUGUUAAUUUGAAGUUCUUUCUUAGGCCAUUUUUUAAACUAUAGAGAAACUGAUUAUAAUACCUCAUUUUUGUUGCAUGUGAUGGAAGUUGUGCUAGAUGUCAAAGCCAGUGUUCUCUAUGUUGAUCUCUUUUGCCAGUUCUUGCACCUGUCACCAACACAUUAAGUUUAGCCUUACCACUUAACACUAUGAUAGCUAUCAUAGAUAACUAUGUAUACUUUUUCCAAAUGUUUACUUUGUUUUUAUUUAAAUUCUGAGAUGCUUUGUUCCAUAUAUGGGAAGGAAUUUUAUAAUUUUAUUGGUUCUUUAAAAAAUUAUAUUGUAAAAUUCAAAAAUUAAAAUUAGCUUCAAAAAUACAUCAGUCAUUGGAUCCUUUUGCACAUAGAAUGUUUUUGUGAUAACUGAAAUCUUCACUUUAUACCACAUUAAUGAAAGAUAAGAAUUAGCUGGUUUAAAGUUUUUUUUAGGUUUCAAAGUUGUAUAGUACCUGUGUGUCUAAGACAAUGUAUGGCACCCAGUAGUCACUUGGUACAUGUUUUUUAAAUGUUUGAGAGAGGAAGACUCAUUUCUACAUUGAUUGGAUUUGGACUUCCAGUACAUUACUGACUCAAAAAGUUUCUAAUAAUUUAUUUAAGUAACUUUUCUAUUUCUCAAAUGUUCAUUCAGUUUAGCAACUUCUUUUCUAAAUGUAGUUAUAUAGAUAUGUCCAAGCUAAAACCAUAUUCCUAAGACUGUAGCUUUUUACAUGGUGGAACAUUGUGUUGCAUGGUGGAACAUUGUGUUGCAUGAUGGAACAUUGUGCCACAUGGUGGAACUUUGUGUCACAUGGUGGAACACUGUCAUAUCAGAAUGUUGAGUUGCACAUUUUCCACAGAAUGUUGAGUUGCACUUUAAAUAUAUGUGUGCAUCUAUGCUUAAUCUAUCAGGUCUUUGGUCAAUGAAGUAUUCCCCAUUUUCUUUCUCUGUGGCACAGUGCAUGUAUUUAAUACUCACAAACUAGCAAGUAUAAUUGCCUUCAGACAUUAUUGAUAUUUUGAUCUUGAAUUGCAGUGGUUUAAAUGUGCAAACUUAUGUGAUUAUACUACAUGGGAGUGCAUAAUUACUGUCAUAAAACUUGACUGCUCCUUAAAAUACAGAAUGAUAUUACAUUUUAAUUUAACAACAUGGUUACUUGAAAAUAUAUUAAUUAUGGAAAAGUA